UACGUAGGGCGCAAGCGUUGUCCGGAAUUAUUGGGCGUAAAGAGCUCGUAGGCGGUCUGUCGCGUCCGUUGUGAAAACUCGAGGCUCAACCUCGGGCUUGCAGUGGAUACGGGCAGACUAGAGUGCGGUAGGGGAGACUGGAAUUCCUGGUGUAGCGGUGGAAUGCGCAGAUAUCAGGAGGAACACCGAUGGCGAAGGCAGGUCUCUGGGCCGCAACUGACGCUGAGGAGCGAAAGCAUGGGGAGCGAACAGGG
rnacentral:rRNA from 1 species